GUAGUCCAAGCCGUAAACGAUGAGCACUAGGGAGAGGAGACCCCGAUGUCUUCUCUCCUGGAGCAAAUGUAUUAAGUGCUCCGCCUGGGGAGUACAGUCGCAAGGCCGAAACUCAAAGGAAUUGACGGGGGCUCACACAAGCGGUGGAGCAUGUGGUUCAAUUCGAAGCAACGCGCAAAACCUUACCUGGGCUUGACAUGCACGGAUUAGCCCCUGGAAACAGGGGUGACGCUCGAAAGGGUGGAACGUGCACAGGUGCUGCAUGGCUGUCGUCAGCUCGUGUCGUGAGAUGUCGGGUUAAGUCCCUUAACGAGCGAAACCCUUGCCGUUAGUUGCCAACGGGUAAUGCCGGGGACUCUAGCGGGACUGCCGUGGUUAACACGGA
rnacentral:rRNA from 1 species